GAUGAACGCUGGCGGCGUGCCUAAUACACGCCAGUCGAGCGAACAGAUGAGGAGCUUGCUCCUCUGACGUUAGCGGCGGACGGGUGAGUAACACGUGGAUAACCUACCUAUAAGACUGGGAUAACUUCGGGAAACCGGAGCUAAUACCGGAUAAUAUAUUGAACCGCAUGGUUCAAUAGUGAAAGACGGUUUUGCUGUCACUUAUAGAUGGAUCCGCGCCGCAUUAGCUAGUUGGUAAGGUAACGGCUUACCAAGGCGACGAUGCGUAGCCGACCUGAGAGGGUGAUCGGCCACACUGGAACUGAGACACGGUCCAGACUCCUACGGGAGGCAGCAGUAGGGAAUCUUCCGCAAUGGGCGAAAGCCUGACGGAGCAACGCCGCGUGAGUGAUGAAGGUCUUCGGAUCGUAAAACUCUGUUAUUAGGGAAGAACAAAUGUGUAAGUAACUAUGCACGUCUUGACGGUACCUAAUCAGAAAGCCACGGCUAACUACGUG
rnacentral:rRNA from 1 species